UGACCGGGUUUCCUGGGGAUAGAAAGAGUGACCGUGUUGGUUUGUGGGAAAAUAUUCCAAAAUGACGUACGAUUUGAACUUCUAACAAGAAGCUUGCAGGAGCGACAGAUUUUGUUGGUGAUGCUUUAACAGAAGGUUUGGACUUACUAGAAGCUGUGAUAAGAAAAGCAAAACUUACGCACCAAGGCAGGAGGACUGGUUGGACUUGCUAAAUUACUCUCAGUCUUAGAUUUUUCUGGAGUCGUUGCUAUAGAGCUCGUUGGUGUUUCUAUCGCAUUUACUGUAAACGAAGGAAAGAUAGUCCUCACUCAAGAAACCCGACAGGUACAACAACUAUAAGAAAGAAGAUUUUCUAAUACCUUGUUUUGUUGGCAGUGGUGCAGGUGUGGAUGAAGGAACCGUUGGCAUUGCAAACUUUUCUAUAAAAAAAACGAAUAACAUUAAUAACUUGAAUAUGUUGAAAAUAUGUCACAAAGAAAGAUCGUUCUCAAGAAGCUCAGUAGGUACGACAACUAUAAUAAAGAAGAUUUUACAAUACCUUGUUUUGUUGGUAGUGGUGCAGGUGUAGAUGAAGGAACCGUUGGCAUUGCAAACUUUUCUAUAAAAAAA